AACAUAUGUAUACGAUUUAUAUAAUAAUUCGUAUUAGACAUCAUUUAGCAGAAAUUUAUCCCAUAGUCAGAUAAAUAAUCAUGGGUAAGGGUAAUAAACAUAUGAAACGUUUAAAAUCUGAAAAGGCCAAAGUAAAACUAAAAGCAAAAAAGACCAAGAAUUUACCGAAAGGAUUGAAUGUCACUGAUCCAUCGUUUAAAGUUAAAAAGAUCGUUAUUCGGGAACAAUUAAAACAACGAGAUGAAACAGAAAUUCUUAGCAAAAGGAAGCUCAAUGUGAAAGAGCUGUUAUCACGUCUUCAACAUCAUAAUUCAACAGUCCGACAAGAUGCUGUGAAAGAACUGAAAGAACUUUUAUCAGAGCAUUCAUUAAAAUUAUUAAGUUCACAGUUUGGAAUUUUGUUGCAAGGCAUUUGUGCAUUGUCCCUUGAUAAAGAGAAAGAUAUAAGACACGAUUCUUUAAAAGUUUUAAGUCUAAUUCUUGGUCCAAUUUCUAAUGAUCAACUUAAUCCAUAUUGUGAUGUUUUAAUCUCAUAUUUGAGAUGUGCCAUGACACACAUAGAUCCACGCAUCAAAGAGGAUUCUCUACUUUUUUGGGAUGUACUAGUGCAGAACUGUAGCACUAUUUUGGCAAGAAACAGUUACAAAAUAUUGCCAAACUUUUUAGACAUGAUUUCUAGAUUACAUACUGAAAUAAGACCCGGAAGGCAAUUAGUUACUACUUUAAACUCUAAAAAUACUAAUGUUAGAUGGAGAAUAAGAGUGUUGGAAAGGCUUGCUACUAUGUUCAGCUCUAUUGUUAACUUUUUUAAAUCUCAACAAACUGUUAACUCAAAUGUGCCUGCACAAGUUGUACAUGUAGAUAAAACUACUGGAUAUAUUCCCAUUUACAUGAAUGCUAAUUUUCAACACUGUGACAUUGAUUUUGAACAAGAUGACAAUUCGAAAGAGAAUACUGCUGAAACAACUUUAGAGGCUGAGGAACUUAUGAAAUACAUAGAACUGUUAAUGCCACUUAUAUUUGAUAGUUGGAUCGAAGUGUGCCCGGAUGAGAAACAUACAGAUAAUUCUGCCCUUUUAAUUUCAACAGAAGCUUCUGAAUUAUUAAAAAGCAUUGUAGAAAUAAUACAAUUAAUAACUGAAUGUAUAGACAUAUUACAUACAGAAUGCGAUGUAAACAUGAAAUUUUGGUUUAAAAGUAAUUUUCAGAAUAAUUAUGUAAAAAGUUUGCUUUCGAAAUUUCCAUAUGGCAAAUUAGGGAUAACUAGACGAUACGUGCCUUCUGUAAAAAAAGGAAAACGUCAAGCAGACUUUUCUCUAGACGAAUCACAGGAUUCUUGUUUAGAGUAUAAUUUAGGACUUUGUCAGAUUUAUGUUUGGUUUACAUCUAUACAUAGUAAUGACAAGACUGUAGCUAGAUUGAAUAAAAAUUAUUGCACGUCUGUCAUUAAAUAUUUAAAUAAGAAACUUGAAAAUUGGUCGAGUGUAAAUAAUGCUGUAUUACCAUUGUUGACUAAAGUUUUAAGAACGUUGUUUCUAAAAGCAAGUAAAAUUUGGUACAAGAAUCACCUUGAUCUGAAUGAAACUCUGCAAUCUGUUGUAAAUGCAUGUUGUAAUCAAUCAAAGGACAUGCAGUUACAAUUAUUUUCUCUCAUUAGUGAUAUCAUGUUAGAUCAUACUUUACAUGAACUGCAUAGGGAAAGUGCAUUUAAGGAUUUCAUCUCGACAUUGCCAAAUCUUCUUUUAAAGCCGAAAAUACAUGAAAAUACGGUACAAAUAAUAAAUAAAAUUGUACUGCGGUACAGAAAUUGGAUUCAACAAGAACUUGUCGCCAAUCAAAAUGAUAUUAUAGGAGGAUCCUUCCAGAUGACCAGUCUCGGAAUCAAUUUAUCUGUUCUCACCUGAAUCACCUGAUGUGUCGUGUGAUUUUAUUGUAACACAGAUGUCUGUCUCAUGCCUGUAAUAUUCGCAUUGGCGUACAUACGUGCACGUUGCAUGGCCCGCGAUCACACCUAUAUGGGUUCUGGAUCAUCGAUGCUACGCUCCUGAUCACGGAGGGCUGAUAUCCAGGUUAAUGUCAGCAAAAUUUAGAUCAUUGCUAACGCAAACCCUUGUCAAAACGCCCUCGAAUCAUUGGCAAAAUUUUCUGGUUUAUUGAGUUUCACUUUUUUUUCUUUAAAAAAAAUUUUGUAAGUCCUUGAGGGACAUGGAAAUAACCGUUGGACGUGUUGGUGUAUCUUUAAUAGUUUCUUGGAUUAUUCCACAGAAUUAAAGUAAUCACGUUGAUGUACCUGAUCGUCCGAUUAAAGUCAUCGAUUUCAUUAGCAUUUAGUUGCAGAGAAGGAAAUUAAGCAUAAAUGCUAUAAUUUGUAUAAUGACUCUUGUUUGCAAAAAACGUAGCAUAUAAAUAUAUACAGGGUGUCCCAGAAAGAGUAUUAAUUCUUUAAGGGGGUGGUAGGUGGAGUGAUUCUGAACAACAUUUUCCUUUGCGAAAAUGUUGUUCGAAGCUUCGUUUUUGAAUUAUUAAGGAAAAACACUGGCCAAUCAGAGCGCGCAUAGCGCGCGGGCUCAGGGACGGCAGCCUCGACUACGAAAACUGGGCUUGACCUGAUCGUGAGAACCGAACGAACACUUUCGGCACCCUACCGGUAUAGCAGGUGACGUUAGAAAAAUAAAU